rnacentral:rRNA from 1 species
GACGAACCGUGCGAACGUUAUUCGGAAUCACUGGGCUUAAAGCGCGUGUAGGCGGAUGGGCGCGUCGGCCGCUGAAAUCCCCCGGCUCAACCGGGGAAGUGGCGCCGAUACGGCCCGUCUGGAGGGGGGUAGGGGGCGCUGGAACCCACGGUGGAGCGGUGAAAUGCGUUGAGAUCGUGAGGAACGCCCGCGGCGAAAGCGAGCGCCUGGACCCUUUCUGACGCUGAGACGCGAAAGCGUGAGUAGCAAACAGG